rnacentral:rRNA from 1 species
UACGUAGGGGACCGAGCGUUGUCCGGAAUCAUUGGGCGUAAAGAGCGUGUAGGCGGCCUUUUAAGUCCUGCGUGAAAUCCUGCGGCUCAACCGCAGACGGUCGUGGGAAACUGGAAGGCUAGAGUGCGGGAGAGGAGAGUGGAAUUCCCGGUGUAGCGGUGAAAUGCGCAGAUAUCGGGAAGAACACCCGUGGCGAAGGCGGCUCUCUGGAACGCAACGUGACG